GACUACGCGCACCCCCCACUGCCCCUCCGCUUCCACCAACUCCACCGCCACCACAUCCUCCACAGGGCUCCUACCACUGUCCGCGAAUGCCAACGGGACGAACAAUAGGGGCAUGCGCAGAUGGAUUGUGAGUUCCUCAAGGCCAUCUACCACCGCUUCCUCUCAUGCCUCUACGCCCUUCUCACCGAGUUCUCCGACGCCAUGGUGAGCUCCGCAACCGGCUACUUCCGGGCUGUUGACGGAGGCCGAUGUCACCAUGCAGGUUGGCAACGUCACCACCAAGCUCGAGGGUUACCUGCGCUGACGCCCAGGCAUAUAUCGCCGCCACCAUGUUAAGAGCCGAGGUAGGCAGGGACCUGGUCCAGUGGAUGGCGUCGUGCCGUCCUCAGCCACAUCUAGCCGACAAGUUAUCUCCCCGCUCCUCAAUCCAUCUCGCCCUCAUCGGCAAGCCACAUCUUCAGAAGCGGACGGACUACAGCGGCGACGAUGACGGUACAUUUCCUCGCCCUCGUCGGUUCCCACAGUGCCCAUGCUGCCUUCUUAGUUCUUACCUGACCAAUUUGCGAAGGAGGAGAUGGAUGGCAUUCGAAAGCUGCUCGGCGUGGGAGGGGAGGCUAGAGGAAAGCGCGGUGAAGGAGAAGUAGAAGUGGGAGAAGGUUGGGGAGAGGAAGGCGUAGAGGAAUUUGUCGGAGCAUUCCUGGUCAUCCACUCCAUCCCCAUUGAAGGAAGGUGCAUAAAGAAGGGGAGCUGCCACCAGAACACUCUUUGUGGCAACCAUCUGCAGAUCGGCUCCGCUAUUUGGCUAUGCUUGAAUGCAGACCUCGUUUUGAACCUUUGAAUUAAUUUGACAAGAUGCAAGCAGCAGGCUACUCCAAGAUUCAAAAUUAUUUGCACUCACGUAUGCUUUGUCUCUGCUCUGCUCUACCACGUGUCUACUUAUAUAUCAGUCCCUGGGAAGAAUUAUCAAGAUUGUCAAAGGUCCUGGUUAUUUAUGGAAUGCCAAUAAAAUAUGCUUCAACUGUUGUAAAUGUUGUAUUAAUCACCCUAGAGAUCAAUACAAAGUCCAGGUUUCAAAUAUAUUGUAAAAGGCUGGAUUUCAAGUUAAACUUCAUCGAUGCCUUUGAAGUUUUCCUCUUGCAUGAUUUGUCCCUUUGAUGAGAGUUUGUUCUUGUGGUUCUACAGUCCUAUCCCAUAGUUGAACACAAACAUGUA